UACGUAGGUGGCAAGCGUUAUCCGGAUUUAUUGGGCGUAAAGGGAACGCAGGCGGUCUUUUAAGUCUGAUGUGAAAGCCUUCGGCUUAGCCGGAGUAGUGCAUUGGAAACUGGGAGACUUGAGUGCAGAAGAGGAGAGUGGAACUCCAUGUGUAGCGGUGAAAUGCGUAGAUAUAUGGAAGAACACCAGUGGCGAAAGCGGCUCUCUGGUCUGUAACUGACGCUGAGGUCCGAAAGCGUGGGUAGCAAACAGG
rnacentral:rRNA from 1 species